GAUGAACGCUGGCGGCGUGCCUAAUACAUGCAAGUCGAACGCGAGCAGCAAUGCUCGAGUGGCGAACGGGUGAGUAAUACAUAAGUAACCUGCCUCACACUGGGGGAUAACAGUCAGAAAUGACUGCUAAUACCGCAUAAGCGCACGGGACCGCAUGGUUUUGUGUGGAAAACUCCGGUGGUGUGAGAUGGACCCGCGUUGGAUUAGCCAGUUGGCAGGGUAACGGCCUACCAAAGCGACGAUCCAUAGCCGGCCUGAGAGGGUGAACGGCCACAUUGGGACUGAGACACGGCCCAG
rnacentral:rRNA from 1 species